rnacentral:rRNA from 1 species
UAGGGAAUAUUGCAAAAUGGGCGAAAGCCCGAUGCAGCAACGCCGCGUGGGCGAUGAAGGCCUUCGGGUCGUAAAGCCCUUUUUGAGGGGAUGAGGAAGGACAGUACCCUCAGAAUAAGCCUCGGCUAACUACGUGCCAGCAGCCGCGGUAAAACGUAGGAGGCGAGCGUUAUCCGGAUUUACUGGGCGUAAAGCGCGUGCAGGCGGAUUGGAGAGUUGGAUGUGAAAGCUCCCGGCUUAACUGGGAGAGGUCGUUCAAUACUUCCAGUCUUGAGUGCAGUAGGGGGAAGUGGAAUUCCGGGUGUAGUGGUGAAAUGCGUAGAUAUCCGGAGGAACACCAGUGGCGAAAGCGGCUUCCUGGACUGUAACUGACGCUCAGACGCGAAAGCUAGGGUAGCAAACG